rnacentral:rRNA from 1 species
UACGUAGGGUGCAAGCGUUGUCCGGAAUUAUUGGGCGUAAAGAGCUCGUAGGCGGUUCGUCGCGUCGGCUGUGAAAUCCCGGGGCUCAACCUCGGGUCUGCAGUCGAUACGGGCGGACUGGAGUUCGGCAGGGGAGACUGGAAUUCCUGGUGUAGCGGUGAAAUGCGCAGAUAUCAGGAGGAACACCGGUGGCGAAGGCGGGUCUCUGGGCCGAUACUGACGCUGAGGAGCGAAAGCGUGGGGAGCGAACAGG